CCCCACCCCGUACAAUCAGGAAAGUUAAGCAAAGUCGAGCUUGGUCAGUACUUAGAUGGGUGACCGCUUGAGAAUAUCGGGUUCUGUAAG